CCUACGGGAGGCAGCAGUGAGGAAUAUUGGUCAAUGGCCGGGAGGCUGAACCAGCCAAGUCGCGUGAGGGAAGACGGCCCUACGGGUUGUAAACCUCUUUUGUCAGGGAGCAAGGUGCAGGUCGGGACCUGCCGUGAGAGUACCUUACGAACAGCAUCGGCUAACUCCGUGCCAGUAGCCGCGGUAAUACGGAGGAUGCGAGUGUUAUCGGAAUUUAUGGGUGUUAAGGGGUGCGCAGGCGGAGGCACACGUCAGCGGUAAAAUCGCGGGGCUCAACCCCGCCCCGCCGUUGAAACUGUGUCCCUGGAGUGCGCUAGGGGUAGGUGGAAUGCGUGGUGUAGCGGUGAAAUGCGUAGAGAUCGCGCAGAACUCCGGUCGCGAAGGCGGCCUACCGGAGGGAAACUGACGCUCAUGCGCGAAAGCGUGGAGAGCGAACAGGAUUAGAUACCCGAGUAGUC
rnacentral:rRNA from 1 species